CCUACGGGAGGCAGCAGUCGAGAAUCAUUCACAAUGGGGGAAACCCUGAUGGUGCGACGCCGCGUGGGGGAAUGAAGGUCUUCGGAUUGUAAACCCCUGUCAUGUGGGAGCAAAUUAAAAAGAUAGUACCACAAGAGGAAGAGACGGCUAACUCUGUACCAGCAGCCGCGGUAAUACAGAGGUCUCAAGCGUUGUUCGGAAUCACUGGGCGUAAGGCGUGCGUAGGCUGUUUCGUAAGUCGUGUGUGAAAGGCGCGGGCUCAACCCGCGGACGGCACAUGAUACUGCGAGACUAGAGUAAUGGAGGGGGAACCGGAAUUCUCGGUGUAGCAGUGAAAUGCGUAGAUAUCGAGAGGAACACUCGUGGCGAAGGCGGGUUCCUGGACAUUAACUGACGCUGAGGCACGAAGGCCAGGGGAGCGAAAGGGAUUAGAUACCCCUGUAGUC
rnacentral:rRNA from 1 species